rnacentral:rRNA from 1 species
UACGUAGGGUGCGAGCGUUGUCCGGAAUUACUGGGCGUAAAGAGCUCGUAGGUGGUUUGUCGCGUUGUUUGUGAAAUCUCACGGCUUAACUGUGAGCGUGCGGGCGAUACGGGCAGACUGGAGUACUGCAGGGGAGACUGGAAUUCCUGGUGUAGCGGUGGAAUGCGCAGAUAUCAGGAGGAACACCGGUGGCGAAGGCGGGUCUCUGGGCAGUAACUGACGCUGAGGAGCGAAAGCGUGGGGAGCGAACAGG